GACAGCAUGUCUGAAAUGCUGUAGGUGGGGAUACAGUUCUGGGACAUAGGAGACCCUUGGCAAAUUUUUAUAACUUGGUAGGUUGGUAUCAAGAUCAGGAUGUACAGAAGACUGACCAGUGAGGACUUGCUGUUGCUACACUUUAGAAAUUAAGAAUUGGACUAGGGAGAAGAAGUUCAUGAAGGUCAUACUGCUCAUGACCAGUAGAGCUGUCUGACUCCAGAUCCAUCCUGAUGACAAUCACGCUGCUGAUGUUGGAAAAUGUCAUGAGGGCUGCUUCAACAUUCUGGAACAAAAGGCACUAUAUAUAAGCAUUAUUAUGAGACUCAAAGGGGCUCCGAGCAAAAUGAAAUCUUGUUAUUACAAGAGAAUUGGAGAGACUUUUUGCUAAAUAUAGUUACUCUGUGGAAAAUGCA